rnacentral:lncRNA from 1 species
GGGGCCUCGCCCUCCUCAUCCUCGGGGCCUCCGCGCGUGGUCUCAGGGCCUUCAUCCCCGUCCUCCUCCUCCUCAGGGCCUCCAUCCUCAUCCUCUUCCUCCCCAUCCUCAUCCUCAGCGCCCCCACCUUCCUCCUCCUCAUCCUCAGUGCCUUCAUCCUCAGCUCCCUCCUCUUCCUCCUCCUCCUCCUCAGUGCCUUCAUCCUUGUCCUCAGCGCCCCCAUCAUCAUCAUCCUCAGCAUCUCCAUCCUCAUCUUCAGUGCCUCCAUCCUCAUCUUCCUCCUCCUCAGCGCUCCCAUCCUCCUCCUCCUCCUCCUCAGUGCCUUCAUCCUUGUCCUCAGCACCCCAUCAUCAUCCUCCUCAUCUUCAAUGCCUCCAUCCUCCUCCUCUUCCUCCUCUUCCUCAGUGCCCCCAUCUUCCUCAUCCUCAGCGCCUCCAUCCUCAUCCUCCUCAUCCUCAUCUUCCUCCUCCUCAG